AUGCCUGUUCAGAAUGUAGGAAAAGUGCAUUUUGAAUACCAAAACACCUUGCACAAUGUCGAAGGUUAGCUAAAUAUUCUAAUUCUUCUUAGCUUGUCACGGAAUACUUUACAAUUGUGGCGUUCAUAGGUGUAUACUGUAUGGAUGUAAAACUUAUAUUAUAGUAAUAGGAUUAAGCGGUAGAGACUUUGCUCUUUCCUGACUAUCUAGAGCUGUUGAUAGAUAAAUGACGUAGUUCCUUAUUUGGGAGAGUCUCCCACGGAGUGUUGUAUGAUAUAUAAGAUUGUGUUUUAGGUUAAUAAAAGGUUCUCCAUUCUGGCCUUGAUUGCGAGCGCUUGUUGUGUACCAACGCGGCACGUUACAAUUUGGUGGCAGCGGCGGGAUAAUGAUCGAAGACGCGCAAUAGCCGCUAUCAAGGCCAUGGUUUUAAGACAAGAGUAAGACAAACCGAGCGGGCAAUCCGGCGGAGAGUGCAGUCAAACGUUUGGCUUCGCAAGUUGCCGCAAGUUGGACUGUGUUCAGUGGAAUAGGUGGACUGAGAGGAGAUCCAGAUUGUCGAUGUUGGUCGAGCGGCGAUCUUACCAAGACCAAACAAGGACUGUCCAGAAAACUGAGUAGAAAGUACUAAAUAAGUAAACGCCAACCAAAACUGAAUUGAACUGUCUGUGUGUGAGUUAUGUGUUUCCUUUCCUGUAUGCUGUGUAUUUUGACUUUUGAGUUUGAAAAUUUCCCGUGUUGUGCGCUUGUGCUGUGUAUGAAUCAUCAGAAGUAAAUCGUCUAUCCAGUGUCACCUGGCAAGAAUAUGUUUCCUACCAGCUGUGAAGUCCUGGCGUUUUCUGCGUUGGUUCAUCCCUUCUACAGUUUUAUUUGACUUUCGUGUGAACUGAUAAUUAUGUUAUAUGUAUUGUUGCUUUCAAGACAUUUUAUAUCUUUAAAUUAGUGAACUUAUAUUUGUUGCGCGCGUGAACGGUAUAUAUCAUAGUAGUUUCGAUGGAAGCACAAAAAAAAAACACAAAAAAAAUAGAGAUGUUAAAGACAGUUAUGUUGGCAGAGAUAGCGUAAGUCCGGUAGUAUAAAAGAAACGGCAGACCAACGAUAGAGUAGCUGUAGCCUUGUGGUAAUUAUGAUAAGUGAGCACAAGUGAUGCCGGAAAUAGUCCUGUAGAGUAGGGACAAAGAAAAAACAUUUAAGAAAAUAUGUGCUCGAAGUUGCUAGUUAAGUGAUAUGAUGUUACCUGGUGAUUUAUUUUUUUUGUAUAUUAGGCUUGUCGUUUAUGUAUAUAUUCAGUUUUCGGGACGAAAACAAUAAGUGAAGGGAUAUUGUGGCGUUCAUAGGUGUAUACUGUAUGGAUGUAAAACUUAUAUUAUAGUAAUAGGAUUAAGCGGUAGAGACUUUGCUCUUUCCUGACUAUCUAGAGCUGUUGAUAGAUAAAUGACGUAGUUCCUUAUUUGGGAGAGUCUCCCACGGAGUGUUGUAUGAUAUAUAAGAUUGUGUUUUAGGUUAAUAAAAGGUUCUCCAUUCUGGCCUUGAUUGCGAGCGCUUGUUGUGUACCAACGCGGCACGUUACACAAUAUCAUAUAAACAAUAAUACUACUUGAAUGAAUCAUUGGACAUGUAUAGAAUUUAAUAACAAUUUCAAAUGGCACCUUGAAUGCUAUGUUCACAGAACAACUGAUGGGGUAGCAAAUCUAUUUGUUGACAUUUUUGUCUGCUUCAGAUGACACUGUUCAUGGCUAGCUUGAAUACUGUACAAUAUCAUAUAUAUAAACAAUAAUACUUGAAUGAAUCAGUGGACAUGUAGAAUUUAAUUAGCCUCCUCCGCAGGCAUCGCCUUUAGAUUAUCGGGCAAAAUUUCUUGCAGGCAAAAAAUCCGAGAUGCCUGCGGAGUUCAUGUGGCUACUAUAUAACUCAUGACGUGUUCAUGUGGCUACUAACUCUUGACGAAGGGCCUUCGCUCGAAACGUCGACUUUCUGCUUGUUUUUUUUUUCGGGUAGUAAUAUAACCACUCAGCACAGCAAGUCAGUCACAUUGGUACCACCCACACUGGUACAGACAGUUUUAGUAUGUUCACAGAACAAUCUGCUGAUGGGGAGACAAAAAACUAUUUGUUGACAUUUCUGUUUAAUACGUCAGCUUCAGAUGACACCGUUCAUUUGUAAUGACUAAGAUUGUACUCAGUCACAACUGCAAAACUAUAUAAUAAGAAAGAAAUUGUGAGCAUUAUAAAAAAAUAUAGUAUAGCCUGAACACAGCCAUGUGAAUAUGUGAAUGUAGGUUGGUAGCCGGUAGGAUUAUUUCAUAUUAGGCUAUGCUAUUAAACAAUGGACAUAUGUCAGAGAAUAUAUUUUUACAGACCGUCAUACCUCGUACAAAAGGCGGUUGACAUGUUAUAUUACAUGUAACUGCUGGUAAGUUAGCUAAUAUGUGCAGACAACAAUCCACACUGGUCACUGGGUUAACUGCAUGUGUUGCUAUAGGAAUAUAG